GCGCUUGUGGCGGAAACGGAAGACGCACCAGACUCAAACCCUGGUGUCCGAAAGGACGUGCGAGUUCGAGGCUCGCCGAGCGCACCA
rnacentral:tRNA from 1 species